AUCCGGAGGAUCCGAGCGUUAUCCGGAUUUAUUGGGUUUAAAGGGUGCGCAGGCGGCCAUUUACGUCAGCGGUUACAUCGUGGGGCUCAACCCCAUUCUGCCGUUGAUCCUGGUUGGCUUGAUUGCGUUAGAGGUUUGCGGAAUUCGUUGUGUAGCGGUGAAGUGCAUAGAUAGGACGAAGAAUACCGAUUGAGUAGGCAGCUGACCAGACCGCAAAAGACGCUCAUGCACGAACGUGCGGGGAUCGAACAGGAUUAGAUGCCCUGGUAGUCCGCACAGUAAACGAUGAAUACUUGUCUUCGGCGAUAUAAUGUCGGAGGCAAAGCGAAAGCGAUAAGUAUUCCACCUGGGGAGUACGCCGGCAACGGUGAAACUCAAAGGAAUUGACGGGG
rnacentral:rRNA from 1 species